rnacentral:rRNA from 1 species
UACGUAGGGUGCAAGCGUUGUCCGGAUUUAUUGGGUUUAAAGGGUGCGUAGGCGGUUCUGUAAGUCCGUGGUGAAAUACUCCAGCUUAACUGGAGGGGUGCCAAUGAUACUGCAGAACUUGAGUACAGAUGAGGUAGGCGGAAUUGACGGUGUAGCGGUGAAAUGCAUAGAUAUCGUCAAGAACACCUAUAGCGAAGGCAGCUUACUGGGCUGUAACUGACGCUGAGGCACGAAAGUGUGGGGAUCAAACAGG